rnacentral:rRNA from 1 species
GGGUGAGUAACGCGUAAGGAACUUGCCUCUUGGUCUGGGACAACUGUUGGAAACGACAGCUAAUACCGGAUAUUAUGAGAUUCUCGCAUGGGAAACUUAUGAAAGCUAUAUGCGCCAAGAGAGAGCCUUGCGUUCCAUUAGCUAGUUGGUGGGGUAACGGCCCACCAAGGCGACGAUGGAUAGCCGGCCUGAGAGGGUGAACGGCCACAAGGGGACUGAGACACGGCCCUUACUCCUACGGGAGGCAGCAGUGGGGAAUAUUGGACAAUGGGCCACAAGCCUGAUCCAGCAAUUCUGUGUGCACGAUGAAGGUCUUCGGAUUGUAAAGUGCUUUCAGUUGGGAAGAAGAAAGUGACGGUACCAACAGAAGAAGCGACGGCUAAAUACGUGCCAGCAGCCGCGGUAAUACGUAUGUCGCAAGCGUUAUCCGGAUUUAUUGGGCGUAAAGCGCGUCUAGGCGGAAAAAUAAGUCUGAUGUUAAAAUGCGGGGCUCAACUCCGUAUUGCGUUGGAAACUGUUUUUCUAGAGUACUGGAGAGGUGGGCGGAACUACAAGUGUAGAGGUGAAAUUCGUAGAUAUUUGUAGGAAUGCCGAUGGAGAAAUCAGCUCACUGGACAGAUACUGACGCUAAAGCGCGAAAGCGUGGGGAGCAAACAGGAUUAGAUACCCUG